AGAGUUUGAUCCUGGCUCAGGACGAACGCUGGCGGCGUGCUUAACACAUGCAAGUGGAGCGACGAAACCGGGCUUGCCCGGUGGCAGAGCCGCGAACGGGUGAGUAACACGUGGGUAACCUGCCCCGAUGAUUGGGACAACUCCGGGAAACCGGAGCUAAUACCAAAUGUGCUUGCAACCUCUAAGGGAUGCAAGGAAAGGAAGCUUCGGCCUCCGCAUUGGGAUGGGCCCGCGGCCCAUUAGCUUGUUGGUGGGGUAAUGGCCUACCAAGGCUUCGAUGGGUAGCUGGUCUGAGAGGACGAUCAGCCACACUGGGACUGAGACACGGCCCAGACUCCUACGGGAGGCAGCAGUGGGGAAUCUUGCGCAAUGCGCGAAAGCGUGACGCAGCAACGCCGCGUGGAGGAAGACGGCCUUCGGGUUGUAAACUCCUUUCAGUUGGGACGAAGCUUCGCCGGUGAAUAGCCGGCUGGAGUGACGGUACCUUCACAAGAAGCACCGGCUAACUACGUGCCAGCAGCCGCGGUAAUACAGAGGGUGCGAGCGUUAAUCGGAAUAACUGGGCGUAAAGGGUGCGUAGGUGGUUAUAUAAGUUAGGUGUGAAAGUCCUGGGCUUAACCUGGGGAUUGCGCCUAAUACUGUAUAGCUAGAGUCCUGUAGAGGAAAGUGGAAUUUCCGGUGUAGCGGUGAAAUGCGUAGAUAUCGGAAGGAACAUCAGUGGCGAAGGCGACUUUCUGGACAGAGACUGACACUGAGGCACGAAAGCAUGGGGAGCAAACAGGAUUAGAUACCCUGGUAGUCCAUGCUGUAAACGAUGAAGACUGGCUGUUGGUUACCUAAGGGUAGCGAGUAGCGAAGCAAACGCGUUAAGUCUUCCGCCUGGGGAGUACGGCCGCAAGGUUAAAACUCAAAGGAAUUGACGG
rnacentral:rRNA from 1 species